UACGUAGGGUGCAAGCGUUAAUCGGAAUUACUGGGCGUAAAGCGUGCGCAGGCGGUUUUGUAAGUCUGUCGUGAAAUCCCCGGGCUCAACCUGGGAAUUGCGAUGGAGACUGCAAGGCUGGAGUCUGGCAGAGGGGGGGUAGAAUUCCACGUGUAGCAGUGAAAUGCGUAGAGAUGUGGAGGAACACCGAUGGCGAAGGCAGCCCCCUGGGUCAAGACUGACGCUCAUGCACGAAAGCGUGGG
rnacentral:rRNA from 1 species